rnacentral:ncRNA from 1 species
GAAGAAUGCGAUUAAAAGGGAAUCAGGUGUAAAUCCUGAACAGUCCCGCUGCUGUAAGUUCCAAUGAAUUAUGUUAUGAACAACUACCACUUUAGCCACUGGGGAAAUCCUGGGAAGGCGUUCGUAACAGGAACAAGUCAGAAGACCUGCCAUGCUAUCUU